CGGAAGGUGACUGAGCGGUUGAAAGCGGCGGACUGUAAAUCCGUUUCCCCUAGUGAUGACUCGGUGGUUCAAAUCCAUCCCUUCCGA
rnacentral:tRNA from 1 species